CACAUUCAACACAAAAAGUAUUGUCUUGAAAGUUUUGUUCUGUGGCUUCUUGCAGCCAGCCGUGUGGACAGUGAAGAAGCAGAUAUUGCACGCUGAAAACAUCACCUCAUCACAGAUGCAUCGUGCACUGACACUAUCUUGUGGUCUCCAGAGACGAGUACAACCUGCGCUAUGGGAAACCGGUACACAUCUUUGUGGAAACUGGCCCUGAGACGUUUCUGAAGAUCAGGAGUAGAGAUCACAAAACGAAAACCUUUGUGUCAGUAACAUGUCUUGAGGAGCUAAUCAGAGUUGCUGUGGGU